rnacentral:rRNA from 1 species
UACGUAGGGCGCAAGCGUUGUCCGGAAUUAUUGGGCGUAAAGAGCUCGUAGGCGGCUUGUCGCGUCGAUCGUGAAAGCCCGGGGCUUAACUCCGGGUCUGCAGUCGAUACGGGCAGGCUAGAGUGUGGUAGGGGAGAUCGGAAUUCCUGGUGUAGCGGUGAAAUGCGCAGAUAUCAGGAGGAACACCGGUGGCGAAGGCGGAUCUCUGGGCCAUUACUGACGCUGAGGAGCGAAAGCGUGGGGAGCGAACAGG